CAUUUUUCUUGACUCAGAAUAAAGUUGGAAAAAGAAAAAAAAAACAGUUCAGUGACAUCAAGAAUGUCUAGCUCAGUCCAGGCCCGGGUGAUGUUCCAGAAACUCAGCCUCCUCCAGGAGAAGGAGACCUUUCCCGUACUAAUCUCUCCAGAGGCCAGAAAUGGAAGGCCAGCUACUCACUCACCCAAGACAAAGUUCAAAGGGAAGAUCCAGGAGCAGUCCAAGAAAAUAAGGUCCCAAGUUGAAGCUGAGGCCCAAGUUUAAAGCCACUUCUAAGAGGCAAGUCACCAGCCAAAUCUCCAAGCAGAAGAUUCAAGCUGAAGGACCCUUGGACAAGAACUUCAGGAUUUCUUACUUCAGAGGGGCCAAUCACAGCUUCCAAAUUGCCUAGCAAUGUCUAGGGCAGUGCUUGUGGGAUCAAAUUUUCGUCCUCUGAGGGUGUUAACUCUUAUCAAAGGAUUCACAAAUUUCUGAGUGACUAAGGUAAAACAGUAGAACUCUCCAAAGAAGUGACUUGUGAACCCCCUUACUUAGUGUUAAAUAGGAGUGCUUAAGUUUUUUGGUUGAUUAAUUCAAAAUAGACAAAGAUAAGAAAGAAUUCCAUUUCACAAUUAUGAUGUAAUUAUAAAAUAUACAUAGGCACACCCAUAUGAACAUCAAAGCUCUGUAUGAUUGGUGGUAUUAUGGCCCCUAUUUUAUAGAUGAAGAAAUUAUAGCUUAAAUAGUUUCAAUGACUUUUUUAGAUAAUCAAAGCUAGUGAGCAUCUGCAGAAGAAUUCCGACUCCAACUUGAAUGAUUCUCUAUAAACUGACAUGUUUGUGAAAAUCACAUUGUUCAGUUUUGAAUAUAUAUAACUUUACGUGCAUGUUUCUGUGUGCAUGUGUUUAUAUAUGUACACAUAUAUAUUUCAAUUUAAAUUUUAUGCUCUGUAAAUAAUUUGGAUUGAAGUUGGACAUUUGUUUCUAAAAAAUAACAUUUGCUUUCACUUCUGAUGCUCAUUACAAAUAGUCUGAUUUUAAAUGAAGAUUAAAAAUAGAAGAAAGAAUAAAGGGAAUUUCCACUUGUCA
rnacentral:lncRNA from 1 species